rnacentral:rRNA from 1 species
GACGAACGCUGGCGGCGUGCUUAACACAUGCAAGUCGAACGGAAAGGCCCCUUUGGGGGUACUCGAGUGGCGAACGGGUGAGUAACACGUGAGUAACCUGCCCUUGACUUCGGGAUAACUUCAGGAAACUGGGGCUAAUACCGGAUAGGAAUCCUUGCUGCAUGGUGGGGGUUGGAAAGCUUCGGCGGUUUUGGAUGGACUCGCGGCUUAUCAGCUUGUUGGUGGGGUAGUGGCUUACCAAGGCGUUGACGGGUAGCCGGCCUGAGAGGGCGACCGGCCACAUUGGGACUGAGAUACGGCCCAGACGGCUACGGGAGGCAGCAGUGGGGAAUAUUGCACAAUGGGCGGAAGCCGGAUGCAGCAACGCUGCGUGCGGGAUGACGGCCUUCGGGUUGUAAAACGCUUUCAGGAGGGGCGAAGCUUGUGGUGACGGUACCUGAAGAAGAAGCACCGGCUAACUACGUG